UACGAAGGGGGCUAGCGUUGCUCGGAAUCACUGGGCGUAAAGCGCACGUAGGCGGUCUUUUAAGUCAGGGGUGAAAUCCUGGAGCUCAACUCCAGAACUGCCUUUGAUACUGGGAGACUUGAGUCCGGGAGAGGUGAGUGGAACUGCGAGUGUAGAGGUGAAAUUCGUAGAUAUUCGCAAGAACACCAGUGGCGAAGGCGGCUCACUGGCCCGGUACUGACGCUGAGGUGCGAAAGCGUGGGGAGCAAACA
rnacentral:rRNA from 1 species